UACGUAGGGCGCAAGCGUUGUCCGGAAUUAUUGGGCGUAAAGAGCUCGUAGGCGGUCUGUCGCGUCUGCCGUGAAACCCGAGGCUUAACCUCGGGCUGGCGGUGGAUACGGGCAGACUAGAGGUAGGUAGGGGAGAAUGAAUUCCCGGUGUAGCGGUGAAAUGCGCAGAUAUCGGGAGGAACACCGGUGGCGAAGGCGGUUCUCUGGGCCUUACCUGACGCUGAGGAGCGAAAGCGUGGGGAGCGAACAGG
rnacentral:rRNA from 1 species